rnacentral:rRNA from 1 species
GAAAAGAACUUUGAAAAGAGAGUUAAACAGUACGUGAAAUUGUUGAUAGGGAAACGAUUGAAGUCAGUCAUGCCGGCGAGAAAUCAGCCUACAGGCUACUGUGGGUGCACUUUUUUGCAAGGCAGGUUAACAUCGAUUUUGAUCGUCAUAAAAUGAUCGGAGGAAUGUAGCUUCGAUUUAGAUCGAAGUGUUAUAGCCUUUGGUAGAUGUGACGAUUGUGAUCGAGGAUUGCAACGAAUACCCUUUGGACCCUUUGGGCUAUCCGUCUGACCUCUGGAAGUCGCUUGGGUGCCAAAAGCUUGCUUAUGGCUAUUCAAGUUGGCGGUCAACAGGCUAGAACGUGAUUAUAUUCAUUAAGGAUGUUGAUGUAAUGGCUUUAAACGACCCGUCUUGAAACACG